GACAAAGGUUUGAUUAUAGAGAGAGGGACAUGAGAGAGGGAGAGACGGAAGCAGACAAAGGUUUGAUUAUAGAGAGAGGGACAUGAGAGACGGAAGCAGACAAAGGUUUGAUUAUAGAGAGAGGGACAUGAGAGAGGGAGAGACGGAAGCAGACAAAGGUUUGAUUAUAGAGAGAGGGACAUGAGAGAGGGAGAGACGGAAGCAGACAAAGGUUUGAUUAUAGAGAGAGGGACAUGAGAGAGGGAGAGACAGAAGCAGACAAAGGUUGAUUAU